rnacentral:piRNA from 1 species
UAAUUGAUGCCAAUAGCUGCCAGUCCUAA